rnacentral:rRNA from 1 species
UACGGAGGGUGCAAACGUUGCUCGGAAUCAUUGGGCGUAAAGCGCACGUAGGCGGACUGCUAAGUCGGACGUGAAAUCCCUCAGCUUAACUGAGGAAGUGCAUUCGAAACUGGCAGUCUUGAGUACGGGAGAGGGUCGCGGAAUUCCCGGUGUAGAGGUGAAAUUCGUAGAUAUCGGGAGGAACACCAGUGGCGAAGGCGGCGGCCUGGACCGAUACUGACGCUGAGGUGCGAAAGCGUGGGGAGCAAACAGG